ensembl:snoRNA SNORD58 Small nucleolar RNA SNORD58
CUGUGGUGAUGACGUUCUUAGGACACCUUUGGAUUUACCGUGAAAACAAACACAUUCUGAGCAGC